GACGUAGGUGGCGAACGUUAUCCGGAAUUAUUGGGCGUAAAGGGUGCGUAGGCGGUUUGGUAAGUCUUAUGUGAAAUCUACAGGCUCAACUUGUAGUCUGCAUGAGAAACUGCCGGGCUUGAGUAUGGGAGAGGUGAGUGGAAUUCCUGGUGUAGCGGUGAAAUGCGUAGAUAUCAGGAGGAACACCUGUGGCGAAAGCGGCUCACUGGACCAUAACUGACGCUGAUGCACGAAAGCUAGGGGAGCAAACAGG
rnacentral:rRNA from 1 species